AAAAAUGUAGGUAUAAGUAACGAUAGAGGGGGUGAGAAACCCCCUCGCCGAAAGACUAAGGUUUCCUGAUCAACGCUAAUCGGAUCAGGGUUAGUCGGGUCCUAAGGCUCAGCCGAAUGGUGAGGUCGAUGGUAGAACAGGUUAAUAUUCCCGUACUACCUUUAGGAGUGAUGUGGAGACGGAGGAGUGACAGCGCCGCCACCUGACGGAAUAGGUGGUUGAAGGGUGUAGAUGUUGAUCAUUGUAGGCAAAUCCGCAGUGAGAGUCGAACCUGAUAGUAUGGAGCGUCUUUUAGACAAUCCAAUAGUGCGUGUAAACAUACUUCCAAGAAAAUCCGCUAAACUUAAUCCUAAAGGUACCCGUACCGUAAACGGACACACGUAGUCGGGUAGAAUAUACUAAGGCGCUUGAGUGAAUCACGGUUAAGGAACUAGGCAAAUUGACCCUGUAACUUCGGGAUAAAGGGUCCCCACUGCAAGGUGGGGCGCAGAGAAUAGGUCCAGGCAACUGUUUAACAAAAACACAGGGCUGUGCAAAAUUGAAAGAUCACGUAUACAGCCUGACACCUGCCCGGUGCUGGAAGGUUAAGAGGAGAUGUCAUCGCAAGAGAAGCAUUGAAUUGAAGCCCCAGUAAACGGCGGCCGUAACAAUAACGGUCCUAAGGUAGCGAAAUUCCUUGUCGGGUAAGUUCCGACCUGCACGAAUGGUGUAAUGAUCUGGACACUGUCUCAACCGUGAGCUCAGUGAAAUUGUAGUAUCGGUGAAGAUGCCGAUUACCCGCGAUGGGACGAAAAGACCCCGUGAACCUUUACUAUAGCUUAACAUUGAAUUUGGGUAAUUGAUGUGUAGGAUAGGUCGGAGACUUUGAAGUGGGUACGCUAGUAUCUGUGGAGUCGCUGUUGAAAUACGACCCUCUAAUUAUUUGAGUUCUAACUCGUUGUUACGAGGACACUGUUUGGUGGGUAGUUUGACUGGGGUGGUCGCCUCCAAAAGUGUAACGGAGGCUUCUAAAGGUACCCUCAGGACGAUUGGUAACCGUCCGUAGAGUGUAAUGGCAUAAGGGUGCUUGACUGGGAGACAAACAAGUCGAUCAGGUAGGAAACUAGAGCAUAGUGAUCCGGUGUUUCUGUAUGGAAAGGACAUCGCUCAAAGGAUAAAAGGUACUCCGGGGAUAACAGGCUGAUCCCUCCCAAGAGCUCAUAUCGACGGAGGGGUUUGGCACCUCGAUGUCGGCUCGUCACAUCCUGGGGCUGGAGAAGGUCCCAAGGGUUGGGCUGUUCGCCCAUUAAAGUGGCACGCGAGCUGGGUUCAGAACGUCGUGAGACAGUUCGGUCUCUAUCUAUCGUGGGCGUAUGAAAUUUGCGUGGCUCUGACACUAGUACGAGAGGACCGUGUUGGACUGACCGCUGGUCUACCAGUUGUGCCGCCAGGUGCAUUGCUGGGUAGCUAAGUCGGGAUUGGAUAAGUGCUGAAAGCAUCUAAGUACGAAGCCAGCCACAAGAUUAGAUUUCUUAGAGUCGUUGUAGACGACAACGUUGAUAGGAGGUAGGUGUAAAGGUGGAAACAUCAAAGCCGAGCCUUACUAAUUGCCU
rnacentral:rRNA from 1 species